rnacentral:rRNA from 1 species
AUUGAACGCUGGAGGCAGGCCUAACACAUGCAAGUCGAGCGAGCGGCGGACGGGUGAGUAAUGUCUGGGGACUGCCCGAUGGAGGGGGAUAACUACUGGAAACGGUGGCUAAUACCGCAUACAAUCGGAUAACCCAUAUGGGAUUAGCUAGUAGGUGGGGUAAAGGCUCACCAAGGCGACGGUCUCUAGCUGUGCUGAGAGGAUGAUCAGCCACACUGGGACUGAGACACGGCCCAUACUCUUACGGAGGCAGCAGUGGGGAAUAUUGCACAAUGGGCGAAAUCCUGAUGCAGCCAUGCCGCGUGUAUGAAGAAGGCCUUAGGGUUGUAAAGUACUUUCUGUGGGGAGGCGUUACCCACAGAAGAAGCACCGGCUAACUCCGUGCCAGCAGCCGCGGUAAUUC